rnacentral:rRNA from 1 species
UACGGAGGAUGCAAGCGUUAUCCGGAUUCAUUGGGCGUAAAGGGUGCGUAGGCGGCGCGGUAAGUCGGGUGUGAAAUCUUGGAGCUUAACUCCGAAACUGCAUUCGAUACUGCCGUGCUUGAGGACUGGAGAGGAGACUGGAAUUUACGGUGUAGCGGUGAAAUGCGUAGAUAUCGUAAGGAAGACCAGUGGCGAAGGCGGGUCUCUGGACAGUUCCUGACGCUGAGGCACGAAGGCCAGGGGAGCAAACGGG